AUUGAACGCUGGCGGAAUGCCUAACACAUGCAAGUCGAGCGGGGUGUAGCAAUACACCUAGCGGCGGACGGGUGAGGAAUACAUAGGAAUCUACCUUUAAGUGGGGGAUAGCCCGGGGAAACCCGGAUUAAUACCGCAUGAUCUCGCAAGAGCAAAGCGGGGGACCGUAAGGCCUCGCGCUGAAAGAUGAGCCUAUGUCGGAUUAGCUAGUUGGCGGGGUAAAGGCCCACCAAGGCGACGAUCCGUAGCUGGUCUGAGAGGACGAUCAGCCACACCGGAACUGAGACACGGUCCGGACUCCUACGGGAGGCAGCAGUGGGGAAUAUUGGACAAUGGGCGCAAGCCUGAUCCAGCAA
rnacentral:rRNA from 1 species